UACAGAGGUCUCAAGCAUUGUUCGGAUUCAUUGGGCGUAAAGGGGUGCGUAGGUGGUCUGUCGCGUCGGCUGUGAAAACUCGGGGCUCAACCCCGAGCCUGCAGUCGAUACGGGCAGACUGGAGUUCGGCAGGGGAGACUGGAAUUCCUGGUGUAGCGGUGAAAUGCGCAGAUAUCAGGAGGAACACCGGUGGCGAAGGCGGGUCUCUGGGCCGAUACUGACGCUGAGGAGCGAAAGCGUGGGGAGCGAACAGG
rnacentral:rRNA from 1 species